UGAACGUCGUCGUGGAUUCGGCAUGAACAACGGCGGUUCGUGGAUUCGGAUCGUUGGCUCGUGGAUUCGAGUGGCGUCGUGGAUUCGGCGUGAUUGAAGGCGGUUCGUGGAUUCGGAUCGUUGGCUCGUGGAUUCGAGUGGCGUCGUGGAUUCGGCGUGAUUGAAGCUUCGUGGAUUCGGAGUGAAGGCAUUUCGUGGAUUCGGAACGUGGCGUUCGUGGAUUCGAACGUGAGGGCGUGGACAACCCGGAGGAUAGCGCGAAGAUUCAUAGGAGGUUAAGAGAGGUUGAG
rnacentral:lncRNA from 1 species